GCAGAGGAAAAGCCGGCGGUGCAGAUGGUGCGGAGAAUCCUUUUUCGGCAAAGUCAGCAAAGCAGCCGAGGAUGAAGAAGCAGGAAGUUGGGCAGAGGAUGAUGAGGAUGCGGCUGGUGGUGCCUGCAAUGGGAUCACAAGAGUGAAAUGGCCGAGAAAGGUCCUUUGAGAUAUUUCUGAAUUUUUCAUCGCGAAGGUCACGGCAGGAACUGCAAUGCAGGACGGAUUUGCAGCAGGAAUUAUUCCAAAGCCAAGAAAAUGCCGAAAGCGGAGCCGAGUUCUAGAGUCACAGAACGGGAACCCCAAAGGCCAUCCAGCCCAACCCCGUUUUCUUAUCACUUCCAAAUCCCAUCUAGACGAAGGCGCAAACUCAUAUAUAAACUGGUUUUAAUACAUUUGAUUAUUUAACUUAAAA